UCUGCAUUCCUGCAGAAAUUCAUAUAGUCAACAGCAAGCAAGAGGACGAGAGCUCCUGGAGCUGAGCAAAGGCCCAUCUGGGCUCUGCUUCCAAAUCUCCACCAAAGUGUGGGUCUCGGGAAAGGUUUAAGAUUCUCCUAGUUUGGGAGGCAAGGGCCUAAGUUCCUCUGCUGAGAAGUGGCUGCUCAUUAAACAGCAGUGAUUCAAACACUGGGACCUGUAGCUGAAUCCAAAUCCAAAACAUCUUUUCCAGGAGUCUCACAGCUGCAUCUCCCUGGAACAGCCCUAAAGCCCUGCUCAGCCUCUUCCCUACCACAUCCAUCACCUGCAACCAGAGAAGCCACCUCUCAAUCCCCCUCUGAUGGGGCGCACAUCUCUGUUCCCUCUCUGAAAAGUCU